CUGUAGCCAACUAAGCCAACCGUGCUCUUUUCCCCAUGGGAGCCCAGGGGGCAAUGGCCUCAAGCAGCAGCCUCCCCAGUGGUGUAUGUUGCCGGUAUAGCUUUCCCUCAGUGACCUGAGAGACAAGC
ensembl:snoRNA SNORA70 Small nucleolar RNA SNORA70